rnacentral:rRNA from 1 species
ACACUGGGACUGAGACACGGCCCAGACUCCUACGGGAGGCAGCAGUGAGGAAUAUGCACAAUGGGGGGAACCCUGAUGCAGCGACGCCGCGUGGGUGAUGACGGCCUUCGGGUUGUAAAAGCCCCUUUUGCCACUGACGAGAACGGACGGUAGGUGGCGAAUAAGCCUCGGCUAACUACGUGCCAGCAGCCGCGGUAAAACGUAGGAGGCGAGCGUUAUCCGGAGUUACUGGGCGUAAAGCGUGCGCAGGCGGUGCCAUAAGUCAGGUGUGAAAAGGUUCCGGCUCAACCGGGAAAACGCGCUUGAGACUGUGGGACUAGAGUGGGAUAGAGGGACGUGGAAUUCCGGGGUGGAGCGGUGAAAUGUGUAGAGAUCCGGAGGAACACCAGAGGCGCAAGCGGCGUCCUGGGUCCCAACUGACGCUGAGGCAC